AAAUAAAUAAAAAAAUGUUGUCGUUUCCUACUUCCGGCCGCGGCUAUUUGAAAAGAAGCGAAGGCUGCAGAAGCAUGUCACCAUUUCAAGUAGACUUCUGUCUGUGUAGAGUACAAGAUACCUGUAAGGUACUGCAUACUAAUGUUGUACAUAAAACAUUGGGAGAAAAGUAAGCAACGAAAAUGAUAGAAACGAAGAUGAAAAUACACAACACACCAGUUGGUUUUCAGCUGAGUCGGAAUAUAAUGAAACAGAAAGUGAGAUAUGAGGAAAGUGACUCUGAAGAUUCUAGUUUUAAACGGAAGUAAACAGAAACUGAGGAUAGGACUGAAAAGGAGUAUCUCCUGUUCGGAAACCUUCAGUGGCAGUAGAAGUGAAAUUUAAGCCUCUAGAUCUUCUACUAGCAAUGAAGGAAGAUCUGUUUACUGUCCAGCACCACAACCAAAAUUUCACCAACAGAAAGCCAAAUCAAGGUCUAGAGAAAGAUUAAGAUCUCUUGAUUGGUCAAAGUCUAUGGAGAGAUCAGUCUAGACAAAGGUCAGGAUCAAGGUCAUGGUUUUGUCAAGACGAGACGGGUACUGAUCAAGAGAAGAAUUCUUUUCCCACUAAGGAGGCUACCAUUACCCACUGGCUGGAGUAUAAGAAUAGAGGCUACCAAAAAGAUCAAGAGGGUCACAGUUUUAGUGUUUAGUGAUGGCUAUUUUUAGCAACACUAAACUUUUAAUGGACACAAUUUCUAAAAAAACAAACUAAGAGUUGAUUGUUGCAAUUUGGCAUGGUGAAAUGUGUAUGGGUGAAGUGAGCACUGAUAAAAUAUAGAGAUCAGAAGUUUAUUCAUUUUAUAUAGAUAUUGAUGAUUGAUUCAGCUGUUGUUAUAGAUCAAACUUUGUAUCUUAUUUUAAGCCAAUGAACCAGUAAUAUUGUGGGUACAAUAUCUUAAAAACUAGAAAGAUUUAAUUGUUAUUUGGUAUGGUGAAUUAUGAUACAAUUUGAUGAUCAGAAGUAAAAUCUCUUGGAAGAUAUCGAUAAAUGAAUCCACUAUGAUAUCACAAUAUAACUUAGUUUCUUGGGAGUUCAGUUGCAAUGUUAUCAUCUACUAGGCUACUUGAGACGGUCUGAUUCCCAGUUUGGUGAUAAAUAUAGAGUUCAUGUGUAUUAAUUACUGUUGAUCUUAGAUUAUAGCACAUGUACCUUUAAAGCAUGUGUAAUUGUUUAUAAACCUCAAUUCUAAUAAAAAUGUGUUUGUAUGUAUAAUUGUAUGAUAAAAAGUGUGAUUGACAAAUAAAUGAAUGAUUGAUUUGAAUAUUGUAACUCUACCUUUAAGAAAAGUGUAUACAUUGUGUUUGACAAAUGAAUGAUUGAUUUGAAUAUUGUAACUCUACCUUUAAGAAAAGUGUAUACAUUGUGUUUGAAUGAUCAUAUUGUAUGAAGCGUAAAAUAAACUAUUUAUUGAAUUUUUUAUUUAAUUGAUUUGACUAAAUGAAUGUACAUUCAAUUUGUUAUAGUGCAGUAGAAUAUAAUACAUUUGAGUGAUGUGUCACAUGGGGUUAAAAUUUAUCCUUUAUCUGUGAUGCUAGUUGAACAAGUUGCCAGAGUCCAGGGCAAGUAGAAAUUACAUAGGGUUAGCGGAAACAGGUAUUUUUAUAAUGUGUUUGAAUUUGAUAAUGUUUAUAAAAUUAAGAAACAUGUUUCUACAUGAGUUUACCAUUCUGUCCUAUGCUGAUAGAUGAUUUAUUGUUAACAAUUCUCAUUAUAAGUUCAUAUCCAUUACUAAUUUGUGAGAAUGCAGAUAUUUUGAAAGAAUGUUUCUUUUUAAAAUCUUUCAUGUGUAAAAAUGUUAUGUGUGAUAUUUGAAUUAAAUUUAAUGAAACCUGUGCUUUCUUUUUUCAUCAUUUGCAAUCCAACAGCAAUGACUAGAUCCUGACGUGAAUCUGACGUCAAUUUCUGACCUAAGUCUGACGUAAAUCUGACGUCAGAAAAUAACGUCAAUGUGAUUUUCACUUUUGACCAUUAUUUGACGUAAUCCUGACGUCCAUUUUUGACGUAAAUCUGACGUAAAAAUGACGUCAAAUGCCUGCUGGGAUGUGUAAUGUAAUGAUAAUCUAAUAAUACAUGUUUAUUUUUGAUAGAUUGAAUGCAGAACAGAGCUUGUGAUAUAUAUUCUGGAACGACCUCACCAAGGACUAGCUUGGAAAAUUCCAGCUCAUGGACGUAAAAAAGUUCCUAAAACAGAACAUUGAUUCUACCACAGUUACAGUAACAGGCCGAGGACGCCUCCGCUCCCCAAAGACGGGUUCACCAAGGAACAACCUCAACAAAACUUGGACACAGCAAACUUCCUAAAACAGACCAACAUUCUACCACAGCUGCUGUCUGUCACAGGUCAUGGCUGAGGUCGUCUGCCCAAAGACUGGGUUCACUUAAUUAGGGACAAUGCCAACAAUACUUGGAUAACACCCCCUCAGAUCCAUUGCUUGUGGGGUUCAUAUGUGGAAAGCUAGAUCCUGAUGACAGUAUUAGAAGUGUGGCGUAUUACAUCUUAAACAUAACUGGUGUUCCUGGAAUGGAUACAUUUUCAGGGUAUCCAGGUGUCUACCAUCCAGGGUUAAUUGACCGAGUUAUAGACUCCCAUAACCAGUUGUGUCUUCUAAGCCAGGCCUGGACUAGUGGAGGAUAUCAAAAAUUGGUGUAAUGCCCGAUUCCUGGCAGAAAAUCUGGUCAAUCAAGGGUUGAGCUUCUCAGUGUCUCCAUCUGUUCCAGUAGAACCUCAAUUAGACCGCAUAGCAAUAGACAUUCUGGGACAUUUACAGACGACAGAAUAUGGAAUUACUGGAAGGGGAUUAUUUAUCUAAAUGUGUAGAAGUUGUACAUCUAAAACAUGACCACAAUACACAAGUAGUAGCUUACGAGCUUAUAACAGAACUUAUUUGUAGAUUUGGUAUUGUAUCAGUUUAUAGAUAGAAUAAGGUUAUGAGUUCGAAUCUGACCCGUUUAAAGCCAUUUUUUAUAUUUGGCAGAUUGAUAUUAAAGAGAGACUACAGUAUGGAUGUACUUGACAUAAUGGUUCCGCCCCAGGAGAGGGAGAAGCUGAUAAUGAUGUUUGUCCAGCCUCGACAGAGAAUAUGUCGACCUGUCCAGUGGUAACUUGUUGGGACCAGAUAUACUAUAAUUAUUCACAGAUCAAGCUCCAUUGGAACAAGUCACUUCUACUUCAGAGGCAUAAAUUAAUAGUAGAGGACGCUAAAUCGUUCAGAGCAGCUACACAAUUGUUGAUGCGGGGAAAAAGUGGCGGUCUAUCCUAAAGGUUUCAUCUGAAAUGGCAGUUUGUGGAGAAGAGGCCACAGCUCGGCACCAGGUAGAAUCAUGCCAGUCUGUCACUAGUGAUGUCAUCUCACGGACUGUCACUGUGGCCCAGUCUGUCACUAGUGAUGGCAUCUCACAGAAUGUCACUGUGGCCUAGGACCAGGUGAUGUCACCAGUGAUGUCUUCCCACAGAAUGUCACUGUGGCCUAGGACCAGGAGAUGUCACUAGUGAUGUCAUCUCACAGAAUGUCACUGUGGCCUAGGACCAGGAGAUGUCACUAGUGAUGUCAUCUCACGGACUGUCACUGUGGCCUAGGACCAGGUGAUGUCACUAGUGAUGUCAUCUCACAGAAUGUCACUGUGGCCUAGGACCAGGAGAUGUCACUAGUGAUGUCAUCUCACAGAAUGUCACUGUGGCCUAGGACCAGGAGAUGUCACUAGUGAUGUCAUCUCACAGAAUGUCACUGUGGCCUAGGACCAGGAGAUGAUACAUCUUUAUCAUGGCCAAGCCAUCAUACAAGAUCAAAUUCAUUUGCUCUGAGGUAGAGCCGUGUUGCAGAAUUGCUAUGAACCUAUUAUACACAAACUAUAGUCAAUUCUAUACAGAGUAGAGA